CAACUACUCCCUCUGUCCCAAAUUUCUUGUCUUAGAUAUGUCUAGAUACGGAUGUACUAAAAUGUGACUUGAUACAUCCGUAUCUAGACAGAUCCAAGAAAGGAAUUUUGGGACGGAGCGAGUACUUU
rfam:Triticum aestivum genome assembly, contig: Triticum_aestivum_CS42_TGACv1_scaffold_577604_7BL